UUUGUUUUAUUAAGGUCUUCCGUAGCAACGGAAGACCUUCUACUUAUUGUGCUGGUUAAGAUUAUUCUUAUUAUUCUUUUUUUUUUUUUCCUAGACGCUAACUUUAAAGCUUCAUAUCUCGCUCAUUCCUCAACCGAUUUUGCUCAAAUUUUCAGCUUUAAUACAUUUUACUAAAGACUUUCAAAAUACUUUUAAACAUUUUGGAUAUUCUCUUCCACUUGCGAGUUAUUUCCCUUUUAGUGAAAUUUUAGGGGCUUUGGUUUCCAGAUAAAGGCUCCGAGACUAUAAUAAUUGGAGCAGAGAAAACACUGAAUUGGUAAAGUAGAAGCAUUGUAGUUGUGCACAUCAUAUUUUGUUUUUUGAUUUCGCCAUUUAAAAUGGCGAUAUAGAGGGGUCAAAAAUCAGGACGCCUGAAAGAGCGAAAAUUUGCACAUAAUUUCCUUUGUAUCUUUUAAACUAAAAAUAUUUUGUUAAGACAUGUAGAAUAAAAGUUGUGUAGAA